CCCUUAGAUGUUCUGGGCCGCACGCGCGCUACACUGAUGCAUUCAACAAGCCUAGCCUUGACCGAGAGGUCCGGGUAAUCUUUGAAACUGCAUCGUGAUGGGGCUAGAUUAUUGCAAUUAUUAAUCUUCAACGAGGAAUGCCUAGUAAGCGUGAUUCAUCAAAUCGCGUUGAUUACGUCCCUGCCCUUUGUACACACCGCCCGUCGCUCCUACCGAUUGAAUGUGUUGGUGAGGAGCUCGGAUUGGCAGCAGUUGGUGGUUCGCCACCGGCUUUUGCUGAGAAGUCCUCCAAACCGCCCCAUUUAGAGGAAGGAGAAGUCGUAACA
rnacentral:rRNA from 1 species